rnacentral:rRNA from 1 species
GUGUCAGCAGCCGCGGUAAUACGGAGGAUCCAAGCGUUAUCCGGAAUCAUUGGGUUUAAAGGGUCCGUAGGCGGCCCAGUAAGUCAGUGGUGAAAUCUCCCGGCUCAACCGGGAAAUUGCCAUUGAUACUGCUGGGCUUGAAUUACUAGGAAGUAACUAGAAUAUGUAGUGUAGCGGUGAAAUGCUUAGAUAUUACAUGGAAUACCGAUUGCGAAGGCAGGUUACUACUAGUGGAUUGACGCUGAUGGACGAAAGCGUGGGUAGCGAACAGGAUUAGAAACCCGGGUAGUCC